rnacentral:lncRNA from 1 species
ACUCUAAAUGGUUCCCCCCCUCCCAGGCUCCCAUUUAGAUAAUUGCUGCUGAGGGAUCUUUGGUGAGAGUCAUUUUUUUUCUAACAGGGAUGGCCCCGGAACACGGAGGGAGAUGGAUACAAAGGAGGGGUCAGUGGGCCAUCCCCGAAGCUCCGUUUGGAAAGACCACGCUCCCUUCGCCCCGGCAGAAAUGGGGAAAACGGGGUUGGUCCUUGGGGCUGGGUUCAGGGGUGGGCUUUGGUGUCGGGGGCUUGUCUUUGAGCCCCAUGGCACCCUGCAGUUCCACGGAGGUCUCGCUGGGCUGGGUCCCACACAGGUAAUAAUGUGCAUGAAAAAUGCUGAGGUGGUGUCACGCAUGGGAUAGGCGCCGGCUGAACCUCCAUGGUCUCGGUGGUCAUUCUUGCUGUGGCCCAGGAGUGGGUGGGACCAAAGAGACUGGGGAAACGGAUUUCCGAGUGAGGAAGUGACUUGUCCAAGGCCACAGAGCCGGGGUCUGGCCCGAGAGCCCAUAGCAGCAGUGGGGAUUUGUGGGACUCAGAAGGGACAGCGGCAUGUGUCCGGGGGAGGUGGCCGGGUUGAGAUUACGCAGAGACAGAAAGGACUAUUUGAUGGAUGAAUGAACGGAGCCCACACCAUAUGAUGCAGGAGCAGGACUGAAGGAUGUGGCUGAUCCCCUGUGGACACCGAGUGGGAGAGAGAAAACACGUGUGCAUCUUAGAGUGGGAACCAGCGGCUUCACCUCACUGUGUCCCCUUCGCCUCCCCUGAACUCAGCCCUGCAGUUUCAGUGGGGCUGACCCCUACCCUGAAGCUCCCAGGAAGGGGCCGUGGCCAUGCCUGGCUCAUACACCGCAUCUUCCACCACGAGCUCUGUCCCCAGUGGACACGUCACCAAGCCAGGGCAGUGAGCCUCCAGGCAAGGCUGUUGGCCUGGUAUUUUCAGCUCCUGGGUUUGCUGAGGGUGGCACGUCAGCUUGCAGCUUUGCCAGCAGGAGUGGACCCGAACGGAGUGACAACGAUAUCCAGCAGCCAGCAGAGACGGCAAUCCAGAAGGACCAUAAAUUGUAAGAAGAUGGACAAGAGAACCAGGCAAUAUUUCAACAUAGGAAAGGUGGGAGAAGCCGGGGGUUGGGGGGAGCCUGUCAUCACACCAUCUAUGCAGCUACAAGAGCCUGCUGGCUAA